GUAGAUUCCUGACUCAUUCAGCUAAUUGGCUUUCCUCAGUGUUCUUGACUCAUUUUGAUGCCCAGGGAAACCAUGACUUAAGAAAGAGAAGGAGAAAGUGUUGAUAAUGAAGAUUAAACCAAAAAGUGUAUCAUGAGCAUAUUUACUUCACCCGCACCCCCCUCCAGAGAACUCAUUGUUAAAAGCUACCAGCACACCACUGAUUUCAGACCUGAGGACCUCCUGGGCAAAGACACAGAGACCUUGAGGGGAAAGUUCAUGAAUGGGGGAAUGGAUAGAAGACCAGUCUGACCGGAAUAGAGAAUAUGGAAAACAUUGUGAAAGACUACUGGAAAGAUCUGGUCAUGCCACUCCUGUACUCGAGGUCCUUCCCUGGCUCCCUGAGCCAUAUCUGCCCACUGGACCCAGAUGGCUCUGGAGGAGAAAGUGAGGCUGAUGACUUUGGACAGCCUUUCCUCACUCAAAUCUAAUUCAAUUGCAAGUCAUGUCAUCAUCUUCCUGAUGUUAUAGUCCUCUUUGAGAAUGAAGGACAAACCACCACCACCGCAAUUGUGUCUUGGGUAAAAUUCAAACUUCAUAGCCUUAAAAUGGCAUUCAAGGCUUUCCACAAUCUUGUUAGCAUCUUGCCUGUCUGGCUUUUCUCAUGCCAGCUAAGUGGCAUAGUGGAUAGGAAGAUUUGUCUUCUUGAGUUCAAAUCCAGACUCAGAUACU